rnacentral:rRNA from 1 species
CCUACGGGAGGCAGCAGUGAGGAAUAUUGGUCAAUGGGCGCGAGCCUGAACCAGCCAAGUCGCGUGAGGGAGGACGGCCCUACGGGUUGUAAACCUCUUUUGCCGGGGAGCAACGGGCGCCACGUGUGGCGUCACUGAGAGUACCCGGAGAAAAAGCAUCGGCUAACGCCGUGCCAGCAGCCGCGGUAAUACGGAGGAUGCGAGCGUUAUCCGGAUUUUUUGGGUUUAAAGGGGGCGUAGGCGGAUCGUUAAGUCACUGGUCAAAUUGAGGGGCUCAACCCCUUCCCGCCAUUGAAACUGGCGGUCUUGAGUGGACGAGAAGUAUGCGGAAUGCGUGGUGUAGCGGUGAAAUGCAUAGAUAUCACGCAGAACCCCGAUUGCGAAGGCAGCAUGCCGGCUGCCGACUGACGCUGAAACACGAAAGCGUGGGGAUCGAACAGGAUUAGAUACCCGGGUAGUC